UACGUAGGGUGCGAGCGUUAAUCGGAAUUACUGGGCGUAAAGCGUGCGCAGGCGGUUUUGUAAGCCAGAUGUGAAAUCCCCGGGCUUAACCUGGGAACUGCGUUUGAAACUACAAGGCUAGAGUGUGGCAGAGGGGGGUGGAAUUCCACGUGUAGCAGUGAAAUGCGUAGAGAUGUGGAGGAACACCGAUGGCGAAGGCAGCCCCCUGGGUUAACACUGACGCUCAGGCACGAAAGCGUGGGGAGCAAACAGG
rnacentral:rRNA from 1 species